UGGCCAUAUCAGGUUGAAACACCAGUUCUCACAAGAUCACCAAAAUAAAGCAACGUCAAGCCUGGUCAGUACCUAGAUGGGUGACCGCUUGGGAAUCC